GAUGAACGCUGGCGGCGUGCCUAACACAUGCAAGUCGAGCGAACAGACGAGGAGCUUGCUCCUUUGACGUUAGCGGCAGACGGGUGAGUAACACGUAGGUAACCUACCUAUAGGUCGGGGAUAACUUCGGGAAACCGGAGCUAAUACCGGAUAAUAUUUCGAACCACAUGGUUCGAUAGUGAAAGACGGCGUUGCUAGCACGUAUAGAUGGACCUGCGCCGUAUUAGCUAGUUGGUAAGGUAACGGCUUACCAAGGCAACGAUACGUAGCCGACCUGAGAGAGUGAUCGGCCACACGGGAACUGAGACACGCUCCAGACUCCUACGGUAGGCAGCAGUAGGGAAUCUUCCGCAAUGGGCGAGAGCCUGACGGAGCAACGCCGCGUGAGUGAUGAAGGCCUUCGGAUCGUAAAACUCUGUUAUUAGGGAAGAACAAACGUGUAAGUAACUGUGCACGUCUUGACGGUACCUAAUCAGAAAGCCACGGCUAACUACGUG
rnacentral:rRNA from 1 species